rnacentral:tRNA from 2 species
GGGUGAUUGACGGUAAUUGGUAAACCUCGCUUCCUUAGAAGUAGCGGUCUGAGGGUUCGAAUCCCUUGUCACCUACCA